rnacentral:rRNA from 1 species
UAGGGAAUCUUCGGCAAUGGGGGGAACCCUGACCGAGCAACGCCGCGUGAGUGAAGAAGGUUUUCGGAUCGUAAAGCUCUGUUGUUAAGGAAGAACGAGUGUGAGAAUGGAAAGUUCAUACUGUGACAGUACUUAACCAGAAAGGGACGGCUAACUACGUGCCAGCAGCCGCGGUAAUACGUAGGUCCCGAGCGUUGUCCGGAUUUAUUGGGCGUAAAGCGAGCGCAGGCGGUUAGAAAAGUCUGAAGUGAAAGGCAGUGGCUCAACCAUUGUAGGCUUUGGAAACUGUUUAACUUGAGUGCAGAAGGGGAGAGUGGAAUUCCAUGUGUAGCGGUGAAAUGCGUAGAUAUAUGGAGGAACACCGGUGGCGAAAGCGGCUCUCUGGUCUGUAACUGACGCUGAGGCUCGAAAGCGUGGGGAGCGAACAGGAUUAGAUACCCUGGUAGUCCACGCCGUAAACGAUGAGUGCUAGGUGUUAGGUCCUUUCCGGGACUUAGUGCCGCAGCUAACGCAUUAAGCACUCCGCCUGGGGAGUACGACCGCAAGGUUG